AGAGUUUGAUCAUGGCUCAGGAUGAACGCUGGCGGCGUGCCUAACACAUGCAAGUCGAACGGGAAUCUUCGGAUUCUAGUGGCGGACGGGUGAGUAACGCGUAAGAAUCUAACUUCAGGACGGGGACAACAGUUGGAAACGACUGCUAAUACCCGAUGUGCCGCAAGGUGAAACCUAAUUGGCCUGAAGAAGAGCUUGCGUCUGAUUAGCUAGUUGGUGGGGUAAAGGCCUACCAAGGCGACGAUCAGUAGCUGGUCUGAGAGGAUGAGCAGCCACACUGGGACUGAGACACGGCCCAGACUCCUACGGGAGGCAGCAGUGGGGAAUUUUCCGCAAUGGGCGAAAGCCUGACGGAGCAACGCCGCGUGAGGGAGGAAGGUCUUUGGAUUGUAAACCUCUUUUCUCAAGGAAGAAGUUCUGACGGUACUUGAGGAAUCAGCCUCGGCUAACUCCGUGCCAGCAGCCGCGGUAAUACGGGGGAGGCAAGCGUUAUCCGGAAUUAUUGGGCGUAAAGCGUCCGCAGGUGGUCAGCCAAGUCUGCCGUCAAAUCAGGUUGCUUAACGACCUAAAGGCGGUGGAAACUGGCAGACUAGAGAGCAGUAGGGGUAGCAGAAAUUCCCAGUGUAGCGGUGAAAUGCGUAGAGAUUGGGAAGAACAUCGGUGGCGAAAGCGUGCUACUGGGCUGUAUCUGACACUCAGGGACGAAAGCUAGGGGAGCGAAAGGGAUUAGAUACCCCUGUAGUCCUAGCCGUAAACGAUGGAUACUAGGCGUGGCUUGUAUCGACCCGAGCCGUGCCGAAGCUAACGCGUUAAGUAUCCCGCCUGGGGAGUACGCACGCAAGUGUGAAACUCAAAGGAAUUGACGGGGGCCCGCACAAGCGGUGGAGUAUGUGGUUUAAUUCGAUGCAACGCGAAGAACCUUACCAAGACUUGACAUGUCGCGAACCCUGGUGAAAGCUGGGGGUGCCUUCGGGAGCGCGAACACAGGUGGU
rnacentral:rRNA from 1 species